UGCGGUCCUCGGUAGUGGCCUUUGAGGGCGGCCUUCCGGCCAGCGCCAAGGGCCUCGAUCGAAGACCGGG
rfam:Sinomonas sp. MTSC 117 Contig147, whole genome shotgun sequence.